GGGUGGUAAUGCCGGAUGCUCCAUCACACCGCAUGGUGUGUUGGGAAAGCCUUUGCGGCAUGGGAUGGGGUCGCGUCCUAUCAGCUUGAUGGCGGGGUAACGGCCCACCAUGGCUUCGACGGGUAGCCGGCCUGAGAGGGCGACCGGCCACAUUGGGACUGAGAUACGGCCCAGACUCCUACGGGAGGCAGCAGUGGGGAAUAUUGCACAAUGGGCGCAAGCCUGAUGCAGCGACGCCGCGUGAGGGAUGGAGGCCUUCGGGUUGUAAACCUCUUUUAUCAGGGAGCAAGGCUUCGGUUGAGUGUACCUGUUGAAUAAGCACCGGCUAACUACGUGCCAGCAGCCGCGGUAAUACGUAGGGUGCAAGCGUUAUCCGGAAUUAUUGGGCGUAAAGGGCUCGUAGGCGGUUCGUCGCGUCCGGUGUGAAAGUCCAUCGCUUAACGGUGGAUCCGCGCCGGGUACGGGCGGGCUUGAGUGCGGUAGGGGAGACUGGAAUUCCCGGUGUAACGGUGGAAUGUGUAGAUAUCGGGAAAGAACACCA
rnacentral:rRNA from 1 species